rnacentral:rRNA from 1 species
GGCGGCAACAGCGCCGCGGUACCACCUGUUCCCAUUCCGAACACAGAAGUGAAACGCGGCCGCGCCCAUGGUAGUGCAGCGUACGACUGCGCGAGAGCAGGUCACUGCCA